rnacentral:rRNA from 1 species
UACGUAGGGGGCAAGCGUUGUCCGGAUUUAUUGGGCGUAAAGCGCGCGCAGGCGGUUUAUUAAGUCUGAUGUGAAAGCCCACGGCUCAACCGUGGAGGGCCAUUGGAAACUGGUAGGCUUGAGUGCAGGAGAGGAGAGCGGAAUUCCCGGUGUAGCGGUGAAAUGCGUAGAUAUCUGGAGGAACACCGGUGGCGAAGGCGGCAUCCUGGACCAACACUGACGCUGAGGAGCGAAAGCCAGGGGAGCAAACGGG